CCUACGGGUGGCAGCAGUGGGGAAUAUUGGACAAUGGGGGAAACCCUGAUCCAGCGACGCCGCGUGAGUGAAGAAGUAUUUCGGUACGUAAAGCUCUAUCAGCAGGAAAGAAAAUGACGGUACCUGACUAAGAAGCCCCGGCUAACUACGUGCCAGCAGCCGCGGUAAUACGUAGGGGGCAAGCGUUAUCCGGAUUUACUGGGUGUAAAGGGAGCGUAGACGGCAGCGCAAGGCUGGAGUGAAAUGCCGGGGCCCAACCCCGGCACUGCUCUGGAGACUGGGAAGCUGGAGUGCAGGAGAGGUAAGGGGAAGUUCUGGGGGAGCGGGGAAAGGCGGA
rnacentral:rRNA from 1 species